rnacentral:lncRNA from 1 species
CAUCUUGUACCUAAAUUACAAGGUAGAUUAUUGUUUUCUUCAGAUGGGCAUAAAUGAUUUAGCAAACAAAAUCUAUAUGCCACAGAAGUCUGUCAAAAUCAUUACAAAUUUUGUGUGUUCAUAGUUUGACUUGAAUAAUAGAUCAACAGAAGCACUCCAAGGAUGGUCCCAAUGACUCACAAAGUUGAGUCACUUGGGUCCAUGGAUCAUUUUCCUUGUUUGUGGUCCUAAGCUGAGAUGAUGAUAUCAAAUACUACAAUAUAUCUAGCUUGUUUGCUUUGAUAAAGAAAUGGUGGACAAUCAAAUCUUUCUCCGUAGGAACUCGACAAGACCACUUCCAUACUCGUGUCAAUUCGAAGUCUAGCAUAAAGAUUGAAAUAAAAGUUUGAAUGAUACAUGCGCGACUUCAAUCCAUAUGCUGGAUUUGGAUGCUUGACUUAUAACUUGAUAAGAUAAGAUAAGAUGUAUUAAUGAUGAUGAUUGGGUACUAAUUAAAUAUUUAAAUAUUAAUAUUUAUGCAUAUUCAAAUCUUGGAUAUUGAUUUUGAUAAAAAUAAAUAUUUAAGAUUUUAUUUUUAAUCCUCCCUCCUCUCAUCGCAAAGCUGUAGUAUUUUAC